GAUGAAGAACGUAGCGAAAUGCGAUACUUGGUGUGAAUUGCAGAAUCCCGUGAACCAUCGAGUCUUUGAACGCAAGUUGCGCCCGAAGCCAUUAGGCCGAGGGCACGCCUGCCUGGGCGUCACACGUCGUUGCCCCCCCAUCUACUCCUUCGGGAUUGCGGGGGGCGGAUGAUGGCCUCCCGUGCGCCUCGUCCCGCGGUUGGCAUAAAUGCCAAGUCCUCGGCGACGCACGCCACGACAAUCGGUGGUUGCGAAACCUCGGUUGCCCGUCGUGUGCGGUCGUCGCGCAUCGAGGGCUCGAAAAAAUUGCCGGGCUCCGGCUCGGCUUUCAACGCGACCCCAGGUCAGGCGGGGUUACCCGCUGAAUUUAAGCAUAUCAAUAAGCGGAGGA
rnacentral:misc_RNA from 1 species